AUUAAGGUAGUUUAAUUAAAACACUGAAUUGUGGCUUCAGAAUUGCAUCUGCCCUUAAUU
rnacentral:tRNA from 1 species